UGCUCUGAGACAGAAAGUAGGACUGCAAAGGCAAGGGCAGGAGGAGCAAAAGGUAAGAGAGCCUCUGAGCUUCCCUUUACUCUCUUCCAGGCUCUGAGGUUCUCGCAUAUUGAGAGAGAGGGUCUUACCCCACCCUCCCCUCAAGGAACUUGAUUGAACGAAUCCGUGUCCCUGGCACCCGGCCCAGCAACUGGCAUGGAGUCAGCGCUCUGUGAAUGUGCAGGGAAGGACAGACAGGUGGGAGCUCAGCCCCAACCCCCAGUCUGGACCCAAAGCUGGAAGGAGGAGAAGGUUCUCUAAGAGAGACAGAGUGCAAGCGGGGAAGGUACAGGGCGAUAGGGAGACACAGAAUCCAAAGCAGGCUCCAGGCUCCGAGCCUUCGGCACAGAAGCCCGCUUGGGUCUCAAACCCACAAACUGCAAGAUUAUGACCUAAGCUGAAGUCAGACACUUAACCGACUGAGCCACCCAGGCACCCCUGUAUAUCUUAUUCUUAGAAGGUUCUCCCAGAAGUUAAGAAAAGUUGCUCUCUCUGCCCUUUCAUUUUUAUGUUUUUUCCCCCUGUCCUGUCAUAUCUGAAUUUAAAAAAUAGAGGAACCAGGUUUCUUGUGCUCCCCGGCCUUACACCAGCUGGGUGACAGCAGCAGGUUAUUUCACCUCUCUGAGCCUCAAUUUCCUCAUCGUAAAAGCAGGGAUUCUGGAGGGGGUGCAAUGAUAAUGUGACUGCAGCAAGGCCUGGUUAGCUGGUAGGCGUUCCACAAAAGUCAGAGCAUUCCCUCAGCCCCUUUCGGAAGGAGGCAGGGGCGCCAAUUCUAAAUAAAUGUUACAGAAGGGCCUGUCAGCAGUUGCCUCUCAGAAUGACCUGUCACUUCGUUUCCCGGCUGCAGGAAGAGGAGCGUGGGAGUCUCCUGACAGGAGAUGACGGGGUCACACGAAUUCCUCACCCUCAGUGUUGGCUCCCACCCCAGGUGCUCAAUCGAUCCGACUCUGGAAGGCUGGACCCAUCUGUCCUGGGUUGGGAAGGAAUCCCUGCUAACAGCUGGGACAGGCCCCUGAUAUAUGGCCCCUGUCACCUCCCCCUCUUCUUUCUCUGAUCUCAGGUUGUAAGACCUCCGUGACCCCGGCCUCAGAGGGCAAAUGGCUCACAAGAAAGGUCUUUAGCGUCCUCCGAGGUCCAGAAGGUGACUUGGCUAUUGUCCGCAAAACCGCGUGCAGCCCCGGGAAAUCAGAAGGAAGGGCAAGAUUCCAGCCCAAGCAGACACUGUUUGCUGACCAGAUUCAAGGAUGGCCACCACCUUUGACUUCCUGCUAAUAGCCACGCUGGGCAGCUUCUCCAGAAACAACAUGUUCUCACUGUGAGAUCAGGGAGCAUGAGGGCUGCCUCCAACAGGAAGUGGCCAGAGCAGGCCAAGGCCACGGGGCCAGGCUGAGCACUGAAUACUGAUUUAUUCCUUGGCUUGGCUGGUGGUUGGGUGGGUCCCUGGGCUGACAGAGCUUCUCUUCCUGUCCCCAGUGCAGUCUGGCAGAGGGUGUGGCAGCAGCAGGGGCAGAAGUGCCAGGAUGAUGAUGCCUGACCUUGGUGCUAAGGGACCAAUUAGCCAGUCAUGGGGUGAAUCCCAUGACCCUGCUGCCAAUGCUCGGAGGCUCCCUGAGCCCCAGAUCCUCUCCCACUGCAGGCCAUGGCACCGGGACUCCAACACGCCCAGGGUCACCGGCACCGGCCAAUGUAGCUUGACCAAAGGGACAGACCCCAAGGGCCCGCUCCGAGGGAGGCCCAGCUGGGAGGAGACGCCAGAGAAUUCACGUUUUCUGACUUGCUUGGUAGAGUUCCUUCCUGCCCACCGCAAGUCAACAUACAAGCCGUUCUCGUGUAUGUAUGUGGACUCACAUACGGCAGGCACCCAGACACGCACAGGCAGAUCCACCCAGAGAUGGGGGCACAGACACGGACACCCUGACGCAUAAAGCAGAUGUGGCCCCCUGGGUGCGGCGCAUGACCAUAUCUACACAUGUGCAAUCACCAGCUACCAGUGGCCAGAAGGCCCCCUUGUCCUAAACCAGAAGCCUUCCAUUAGCCUAAGUUUAAAUUGUGUGU